GACGUAGGAGGCGAGCGUUGUCCGGAGUUACUGGGCGUAAAGCGCGCGCAGGCGGCCCUGCGCGCUGCCGGUGAAAGCUCCCGGCUCACCUGGGAAAGGUUCGGCAGGACGGCAGGGCUGGAGGGCGGUAGAGGGUGGUGGAAUUCCCGGUGUAGUGGUGAAAUGCGUAGAGAUCGGGAGGAACACCCGUAGCGAAGGCGGCCACCUGGGCCGACCCUGACGCUGAGGCGCGAAGGCCAGGGGAGCGAACGGG
rnacentral:rRNA from 1 species